UAUAGUUUUCUAUUUCAAUAAUGCUUCAUUUUUGAUCAUUCCAAGUUAUUUGAACACGUGUAGUUCCGUCUGAUACCUAAUGGGGCGCUGUGCGUCCAUUGCCAUAGUUUUACGAUCAGCACACGAAGAAGACGUUCGUCCCAAUGCCGGAAGCGCAGUAAAAAGUGGAACUUCUCUCCGGAGUUGGCUGUAUUUUGUUGUCAACUACGCAACAUCAAACCCCCCAAAAGAUUUCAAAGAUGGGAGACCUGAUCAGAGAGUACACCGAGCUGCUCCAGCAGCAGGAGCUGAAGAUCCAGAGUGUUUCCGCAGAGAUCGAGGCCUUAAAAAACUCUCAGAACCCGAGUUCCUCUGUACGUUUGGAGGAAGUGAUGGAGGAAUGUUCCAGGCUGAAGUAUCGCGUUAACAUUCUGACCAGGGCGAUGCACAGGGAGCAAACUCGAUGUGGUGACUCUGUGGUCAACUAACAGCUCCAGGACAUUUGUCCCUCAGGACGACUCUUCCCCAACUGUCUAUCAACCACAGUUGUAAUUGUGUCACCAGAAAAUGACCAAAAAGUAUUUUUUCAGUUACAGAAAUAAAACAGAUGUCUUCUAUUUUGAUGCUCUUUUGUGACGAUUUUAUUUCAAAUACAGACAAUAUUUCGUUUAGCGUCUUAAAUUCACAGCAACUUAUUUUUCUCCACAACGUUAUACAUGGUUUUCAUUAAAUAAAAUAUUGAGAGA
rnacentral:lncRNA from 1 species